GCGGAUGUGGUGAAAUUGGUAUACACGUAUGCCUUAGGAGCAUAUGCCGCAAGGCGUGAAGGUUCAAGUCCUUUCAUCCGCACCA
rnacentral:tRNA from 1 species